rnacentral:rRNA from 1 species
CUGAUCGAGGCGACGCUGGCGGUCCGCUGCCGGCAACAUCGCGAGAAGUCCACUGAACCUUAUCAUUUAGAGGAAGGAGAAGUCGUAACAAGGUUUCCGUAGGUGAACCUGCGGAAGGAUCAUUG